UAACGCGUGGAAACCUACCAUUCUGUACGGAAUAACGAUUGGAAACGAUCGCUAAUACCGUAUACGCCCUGUGGGGGAAAGGUCCGCCGCAGAAUGAGGGGUCCGCGUCCGAUUAGCUUGUUGGUGGGGUAAAAGCCUACCAAGGCGAUGAUCGGUAGCUGGUCUGAGAGGAUGAUCAGCCACACUGGGACUGAGACACGGCCCAGACUCCUACGGGAGGCAGCAGUGGGGAAUAUUGGACAAUGGGGGCAACCCUGAUCCAGCAAUGCCGCGUGUGUGAAGAAGGCCUUAGGGUUGUAAAGCACUUUCAAUGGUGAAGAUGAUGACGGUAGCCGUAGAAGAAGCCCCGGCUAACUUCGUGCCAGCAGCCGCGGUAAUACGAAGGGGGCGAGCGUUGUUCGGAAUUACUGGGGCGUAAAGGGCGCGCAGGCGGCCAAUCCAGUCAGGUGUGAAGGCCCCGGGCUUAACCUGGGAACUGCACUUGAUACUGAUUGGCUAGAAAACGGAAGAGGGCAGUGGAAUUCCCAGUGUAGAGGUGAAAUUCGUAGAUAUUGGGAAGAACACCAGUGGCGAAAGC
rnacentral:rRNA from 1 species